GGUUAAUGCAAAGGUAGAGAGUGAUCUCUAUUGAUUGUCCACAGUCAGCUACAGAUGGAACUCCUUGUUCUUCUCUGCCUCCUUCUCACUACUGCACUUGACUAGUCUUAA
ensembl:misc_RNA Y_RNA Y RNA